AACUCUGGAGGCUGAGGCUAAGCUAAUGACGGCGGCCGUCCGCCAUUAUCAAUUUGAGUGAAGAAACACAAGCCAGUAAACAACAAAGACUGGGGCCGAACAUUUCACAGUGUAUUAGAUUUUUGGGUAAUGGACCAGGUUCCAGUUCAUCCUACAUGUAUGAUAGACCAUCCAGGCCUGGAGCAUGACAGCUUGAAUCCAUACACCCCACAGAACAUCCACAACAUUUACAGGCAUCCAUCCCGUCCUGUGUUGCACAGUAUGCCAGAGUUUCCUGAUCUGGCUGGUCACUGCUUUGGCCUCCAGCUGCCCCUUGGCUGAAGUGAGAGACGUGUAAGGCAACCACUUCUGCCUUUGAGGGUCUCUGAUACUGGGAUGCCAGGCCCUUUGGGAUGGGGAUUUUGGGGAAGAUGCACCUCAUCAGGUCAUGUACAGUCUGUAAAAUAUUGCAUUUAAAUAUUGAUUUCCUUGUGUUUUUAAAUCAAGUGCUUCCCUGAAUCCACCUAUAUAUUUCAAGUGUUGCCACCACUAUUUAAUAUUUUUAUCUGAUGUUAUUAUGUUGGUAAUAAAAAUAAAAUUAUUUACAAAUUACCACAUAUAGGGUCUGUUUUUACAAGUCCUCCUCUCAAGUCAACAUGAGAUACAUACAUAUAUAUAUAUACAUACAUGUUUUUUUUUCUGCUCUAACAUCAUAAAGUCAAAGACAUGUUGAUGUGAUGCAGAAAUAUAUAUUCUGAAGCUUUUGGUAAACAUCAUUUCAGUGUUGUAAAAUAUUUCCAGGUACUGUAUCUCAAACACAAAAACACAUAUAAUGUCUGUGUUACAUACCUUUGCUUCUCCAGCUGCUCCCUCCCUAUACAGGUCAAGGUCAAGUUCAAGGUAAAGUUUAUUAUCCCACAAGUGGGAAAUUCAUGUGGUCAUUCCACUCUCCAUCACAGAGGCAUUAAAAGAAGACAAAAACAAAGGCAUGAAAACAGUAAAGGCAUUGAAUGAAAACAAUGCAAUGCCAUAAUAACAUUAAGUCAAAACAACUCAGUAAAGCAGUCAAAAUACAAUAGGAUCACAGUAAAAGCAAUAAAUAAAACACCACAAUAAAAAACAUUGAGCAAACCUGUUGACCUACCUAUUAUUAUAUAGCCUAAUUGCUGUAGGAACAAAAGACUUGUUGUGCCUAGUGGUCCUGAUUUUCUGCUGCAGAAUUCUGUCGCUUGACCUUUUACUUUUUUGAAGUUUCAUAUAGAGGGGGUGGGUUGGGUCAGUUAAAAUCUGGUCUGUCUUCUUAGAAAUAAGUUCAUUGUACAAUUGAGUUGCCGAGGCCUGAUCAACUCAAAUGAUUUUACAGUACUUGCAAAUCUGACCAUAUGUUGCAAUUUUUCUGUUUCUGUUUCCAAAGGCACAAAUAAGGCCAAAGGUUAGGACACUUUGCAACAGGGCCUUAUAGAACAACUCCAGAAUACGGCUGUCCAAUUUAAAUUGGUUCAGCUUUCCAAGGAAGUACAUCCUCUUCUGCAAUUGUUUGCACUUGUUAAAUGCAUAAUCUUUAAACGUCAAUUUGUCAUCAAUCUCAACUCCUAGGUAUUUUUGUAUGAGGAGAACCGCUCUACUGGUUCACCAUUAAUUCUGGAUGUUGGGACCAGGAUUCCCUUUUUAUUAAUAUCAGUGACCAUCUCUUUUGUUUUCUUUACAUUGACCUCAAGAAAGUUGUCUGAACACUAUUUACUAAAACUUUCUAUGUCUGUUGAAACCCUGUAGGGACGAGAUAUCGAAUGGUGAGACGUCAGAGAGAAGAUGCUUCAAAAUAAUUUUUUCACUUCAUGUAAGGGCAACAGGACAUAGGUCAUUAAGUUCACUGGGUCUGUUGUUUUUGGGUACAGACAAUAUCAGGGAUUUUUUCCACAGACAUGGUACUACUCCAGUGUCUAUUGACAGCUGAAACAGCCUCUGAAAAGGCUGUGCCAGCUGGUCUGCGCACACCUUUAAUGUCCUACAGCUGAUACCAUCAGGCCCACUGGCUUUGCGAGGCUUAACAUGUCUGAAAUAAGAUUUAACAUCGUCUAGAGCAAUAUCAAUGUUCACACACUUCAUGGCACUAAUUUCCUUGUAGACCAAAUUCUGUUCAGUACUGAAAUCAUGUGUAUCAAAAGACAAUAAAAAUCAUUCAAGUCAUUUGCCAUAUCAAGUUCAUUGUCCACAGCCAUAAGAUGUUUCUUUGGCUUGUAUCCUGUGAUUGUCUGAACUCCCUGCCAUGCUGUUCUGUAGUCAUUUCUAAAAAAAAAACCUUUCUUAUUUAUGUUUGUAUGUUGCUUUGCAAUUCAUCAUCAUUCUUUUAAUUUGUUUCUGCACUUUACUUCCUCUUGAUAUUAAAUAAUUGCUUUUUUUUUUAUUAAGAAGUUGUUUUAGUUGCCCAUGGUUUAUUAUUGGGAAACAUUUUAACAGUCGUUUUUAGGAAUAAUUACGUCCUCGUAGAAUGUUAUGUAGGCUACCCGAGAUGGCCAGCACCGCAUCAUUGAUGUCUACAGUCCCGUCAGUCACCACAUUCCAAUCCGUGUGCUCCAGACGGUCCUGUAGUGCAUCUGUAGCGGCAGGAGUCCACCUUCUAACCUCCACCUUUUUAGCUUUCUCGCGCCGCAGCCGUGGUACAUAAGCAGGCAUCAGCUUAAUCAUGCUGUGAUCUGAUUUUCCCAGACUGGGCAGUGCCUUAGGGGCCGUUCAGAUGUAGCGUCUUUUGCGCGCACAAAUUCAUUAGUUUCAAUGUAGACGCGCGUCAAGUGCGCUCACAAUCCAAAGCAACGCUGUAGUGGCGCACGUUCGGUGCGACGCGUCUGUUUUUCCGUGCGCGUCCGCGGCGCACAGAGAUGGAAAAUUCUCUACUUUUUCGAAUGCAGCAUUCUCUCGUAUUCUAUUACUGCAUCUUGCUAACUCGGCCAUUCUGGAUGUCACUAACUCGGCUUC